rnacentral:rRNA from 1 species
GAACUUAAGCAUAUCAAUAAGCGGAGGAAAAGAAACCAACAGGGAUUGCCUCAGUAACGGCGAGUGAAGCGGCAACAGCUCAAAUUUGAAAUCUGGCUCUUUUAGGGUCCGAGUUGUAAUUUGUAGAAGAUGCUUCGGGUGUGGCUCCGGUCUAAGUUCCUUGGAACAGGACGUCAUAGAGGGUGAGAAUCCCGUAUGUGACUGGUUGCCUUCGCCCAUGUGAAGCUCUUUCAACGAGUCGAGUUGUUUGGGAAUGCAGCUCAAAAUGGGUGGUAAAUUUCAUCUAAAGCUAAAUAUUGGCCAGAGACCGAUAGCGCACAAGUAGAGUGAUCGAAAGAUGAAAAGCACUUUGGAAAGAGAGUUAAACAGUACGUGAAAUUGUUGAAAGGGAAGCGCUUGCAACCAGACUUGCAUGCGGUCGAUCAUCCGGUGUUCUCACCGGUGCACUCGAUCGUAUUCAGGCCAGCAUCGGUUUCGGUGGUUGGAUAAAGGCCUUGGGAAUGUAGCUUCUUUCGGGGAGUGUUAUAGCCCAAGGUGCAAUGCAGCCUACCGGGACCGAGGACCGCGCUUCGGCUAGGAUGCUGGCGUAAUGGUUGUAAGCGACCCGUCUUGAAACACGGACCAAGGAGUCUAACAUCUAUGCGAGUGUUUGGGUGUCAAACCCAUACGCGUAAUGAAAGUGAACGGAGGUGAGAACCCUUAAGGGUGCAUCAUCGACCGAUCCUGAUGUCUUCGGAUGGAUUUGAGUAAGAGCAUAGCUGUUGGGACCCGAAA